rnacentral:lncRNA from 1 species
UACAGUAUAUGUCCAGUUCAUCUGGAAUUUGGUUUGGUGUUGUUUUGAUGUAUUUGGUAUUUGAAAUUUGCAUUCGUUUGCGUUUGGCUUGUAGAUUGAAUUGCUAUUCAGAUUUCUCACGAUUGUGUAUUCCAUGAAGCACAAAGCAUAUUGGUAUUGAUUGUCAUUUGCUUUGCCAUCAUCUACAGUCUGGCUCAUUUCCACACCAUUCGUUAUUCAUCGUUGCAGCUUGCUUCUUCACGAAGUCACACCCGGUUCAUCGUUUUCGUUUCUUGGUUGACAAACUCCCAUUGCUUCCUGCUGUAGCAUUGUUAGUUUGAGGGGAGAUGUUAAUGUAAUAAAUAUGUUAGGUUAAGGGUAGUUUUGUCUUUUGUAUUUCCUUUGUUUUGUAGUAUUUAAGCUCAUUGUAAUCUCAUAUAUUUUCCCUAAGUUUGAAGGCUCCUCCAUUCUUCACAACCGUUUGUUCCUCUCUUUUGAUAGAUUUAUAAAAUUAGUUCUUCAUCAGUUUGUUCUCCUCUUUUGAUAGAUUUAUCAUGUUGGUUUGUUGUUU